rnacentral:tRNA from 1 species
GGGGUGGUGGCUCAGUGGUAGAGUGUUCACCUAGCAUGUGUGAGGCACUGGGUUUGAUUCUCAGCACCGCA